UGUUUAACAAACUAAAAACAAUAAAAAUAUAUGAUUAUGUCAUUGAGUUUAAUAAUAAUAACACUUAAUAAUAUAAUAUGUGUAAUAUAUUGCUUAUUAUAUGAUAAGUACAUGUUUUCUAUUCGUCUUUUUCUUUGAUCGAUAUUACAGAGUAAACAUGAGUAGGUACGUCUAAGCUAACUAUGCAGUAAAUUCAGAAUAACAAAGUUAGGUAUGUAUGCCAUUAUACAGGGCAUGUUUUAACAGCGAUUUGAUAGUACACUAUAAUUAUAGUGAAAUUAUGAUUGAAUUCAUUGAUUAAUUCGCCAUGCACUUUUGCAGCUCACUGUACCUAAUCAUGACAUUUGCAUUAUUAGCUUUUAAAUUUUAUGCAUAGUUAGCUUAGUCUAACAAUUUGAGAUUUACUAAUUCAAGUUACAUAAUAUUAGCAAACAUAAUCAUUUUACAUAGUGUAUGAACAUUGAGGUCUACGUUUCCUUUGAAACUUUUAUUAAACGCAUUUUGAUAAAAAAUACUUGAAGAACGUCGUUCUCGGCGGCAAAGGCGAGACGACAAUUAGUCCGUCAGUUAGAUUAUCAAAGAAUUUAAGACACGUAUUUUUUUCUUUUUUUCUCGUAAACUAAAAAUGAUAAAAGUUGUUCAUUAUAACCUCAAACGUCACUAUUUAAAGUUGGAACGGUCCUUUUAUUUCACCUGUAUAUUAUACAUUCAAAACAUAACAAUUAUAAAAUCAUUCUGCUAUUUCAUUUUCAAAUCCUAAAAGAGCCUAAUUAAUUAUUUACAUUAAAUUAAUAUUGAGUAAAUGUUUCUAUUAUAGUUACUUACACAUAUGGAAGAACAGUUUCUUAGUAUUAAAGCAUAUGUACAAACGAUAUUAUAAGUCACGAAGUCUUUUAUCGAACUACAUAUUAUAUUUAUGAAACAUAAAAGAAUAAAGAGAGACUAACGGUCAGUUUCUGUCUACGAUCUAUACUCGACAAUGCGUGGAUAAGUUAAAAUAUCAAUUUAAAAAAACUUUCCACAAAUACCUUCAAAACCUAUUUCCUCCAAUGCCAUUAAAUAAAAUAAAAAAAUAAAAGUAUCUCGAAACCCGUGUACUUACCAACAUGCUAAUUAAAUAUUAAGAGAAAAUAAUAACUUGACUUCGACCCAAUAUCGAUUCCAACUAGCCCAUGCAUUAAUAUCUGUACUGUCGUAAAUACAAGGUCGAUUCUACCACAAUCGUUGUAGGCUGGACUGAAUAUUCUCGAAUAUUAAAUUGUAUUUGUUCUAUAAAGUAGGGUAAGGCCUUUUCACGUUAAAAAAUAUUAUCAAGAGAGAAAUUCUUUGAGAGUUAGGUCUUUUUAGUUCUUUUAGAUAUUAAGGUUUUUAAAGACAAGGUUGACGAAGUGAAUUUUACAGUUUGACAAGGCCGGGUGAUGAAGAAAUAUAGCCAAUAAUUGUUAGAUUAUGGGGUCAAUGUUUAUCCUAAAAACCUCAAAAGCUAAAUAAGCAGUGGGGAAGUAUUUUUAGCUUUUUCUUUGAAGGUUGUCCUUGUUACCGAAAUACCACAGUACUUUUUGUUUACUAAAUGGGCAAAUCAAUUUUUGACUGGCAAUUUUGAGUGUCAUUGGCGUUACUUGAAAUGUCUCUGGAGUUACCAAGAAAUCGAACUUCAAUUGAACAAAGUUUCAGUUUAAUAGGUAGUUAGGUAUACCU